ensembl:lncRNA
GUCACCCUAGCAGCGGAUCCACAUCUCGGGUUGGCUGCCUUUAGUGUGGCUUGGAAUGCGGUAUUCGGUUCAGCCACUCCUGAUGCUGAGCCUAGUCUCGUAUACCGAACACUACAGGAACUGGUUGUGUUCUAGAGAUCUUCCUGCCCCCCACUUCUCAAGUGCUGGGAUUAUAGGGUCGCUGUGACAUGGGAGAGACAUAGUCCAUGGGAGCUCAUAAUCUAACGAGAGACGGGUUUAUGGCAAACAAUUACAGUGUGGGUGCGGUCACAGAGAUGAGAAUAAAGUGCUUUGAUCACAUGAAGAAGUCAGUGCAGGGGAACGGAGGAUGACGGCACAGAAGGCAAAGCUAACCAAUCAACACGUAUCAACAGACACAUCUGUCUGUGCUGCUCUCAGAGGUGGUCAGAGAACCACCUUCUGGAGGUGCAUUCAUAGCUAAUCAAAGGGCUAAGAAGAAGUAAUCGGGUGUGCUCAGUCAUUCAUGGACCAUCCGGGUCAACCUUCACCUGCUCUGAGGCUCAGGGAGCAUCAAACAAGUGAGGAGAUAAAAACGAAGCAAGAGGCUGGGUAGGCAGCAUUGCACCCAUGAACUUGGAGCUGUGGAACCUGUAUACAGUCAGACCAGCCAGAAUUCCAGCAUCAAUGGGGGACUGGCUCCUGAGGACCGUGGCCCUAGCUGCAGAGAUACUGGCAAUUGAAGGCUGCCUGAGCAGAGUCUCUCUUCUUUGGACAUUUGAUGCUGGUGAGCUACCCAGAUCCAAGCGAAUGAACCCACAGCCAUGUACACAUGAGCAACACAGUUGGAUUCUGUGAGUUAUUAAAAACAACAAAAAAAAAGAGGACAUGAAUUUGGCGGGGAACAUAUUAGGGUUCUCAGAGGGGAGCUAGAAGAAGGUAGUAAGGGGUGGAUAUGGUCCAAAUGCACUGUAUUAUUGUAAAUAUUCUAUAUCACACAUAUAUGCGUAUAUUUAUUUUCCUAAGAGUAAAAAUCACAGCACUCAGCAGAAAGGAAAGAGAAGAGAUGGGCCUGACUCCAAAAGUGACUGUGUGAUCUGACAAGAGUCCACGCAAUAGAGAAGGGGCGUGUCCCCAUCACAGGUACAAUUGUACCUCUCUUGGCCAAUACCCUAUAUGUAUUAUGUAAUAUGAAGGUGUGUCUCCACCGGUGUGAGUUUCAGACCAGGGGAGAAAUCUACACUAGACUGAAGGAGAGUGAAGAGGAUCUUGCCAUUCCCCUCAAGUGACAAAAACAAUUGCUAGGGAUUUACUUUAGUGAGGAAAAGAAGAGGAUCAGCUUGUGUUUCCUUCAAGCGAGAAUGCCACACAUACCUUCCUGUAAGAGCUUUAGAAAUGGUUAAGUAUACGAUUGCAGGCCUUUUUCUCACAGUCAAUGCCAUCUUUUAUUUGUGACUUAGUUUGUGGGCGUGGAUGAGGGCGUACCCCAGAGAAUGUGCAUGAGACCUAGUGUGCCUGCCUCCAUACGUAGAGGUUAGAGAGCCACCACAGACGUCAGUUCUUGACUUCCAUCUUCUUUGAGCGAGGAUCCUGUUUUCUUUGGUUCUUUGCUGUUGCACCGUCCAUGCCAGGCUAGCUGGCCUGGCACCUCUUCAGGAUUCCUCCUUUCUCUGCCCUCGGUCUCACUGGGAUUACAGAUCACAUUACUAUGCCUGUCUUUAUAUGGGUUUUGAGGAUCCAGGCUCUGGGCUUCACCCUUAUGUGGCAAGUACUAAUAAAGUCCUAUGACUCGACUCAUCAGCUAUCAAGUUUUUAACUCUUUUUUAUACAUCUCCAAUAUUUUAUUUGCAUCCCUUUCUUAUAAAACCUUGACUUUAUCCCAACCCCUAUAUUGACCUAGUCCCAAAUCUUUUACAGAAUCAAAGCGAUAAACUUCAUUUUUUAAAGGAAGACACUACAAAAAAAAAUGUUUUUAGGAUUCAUACUUUUGGCUUUAUUUUCCAGUUUUAAAAAGUUAAUUUAUGGAGUAAGGACUAUAAAAAGAACAUGUUGGAGGUCUGAUGACAAUUUAGUAGAUUUCAGAAUUUGUUAAAUUUUCUGUUUUCAGUGGGACAUGCUCUCAAGGUAAUGCUAUUUAGAAUAUCUGCAUCUAAGAAUUUCCAUAUGUUCUUCACAG